rnacentral:rRNA from 1 species
UACGUAGGGUGCGAGCGUUGUCCGGAAUUACUGGGCGUAAAGAGUUCGUAGGCGGUUUGUCGCGUCGUUCGUGAAAACUUGGGGCUUAACUCCAAGCGUGCGGGCGAUACGGGCAGACUUGAGUACUACAGGGGAGACUGGAAUUCCUGGUGUAGCGGUGAAAUGCGCAGAUAUCAGGAGGAACACCGGUGGCGAAGGCGGGUCUCUGGGUAGGAACUGACGCUGAGGAACGAAAGCGUGGGUAGCGAACAGG